rnacentral:rRNA from 1 species
AAGCCGGGCAGCUGGUAGCAAUAUCAGCGCCUUGCACAGGUGCUGCAUGGCUGUCGUCAGCUCGUAUCGUGAGAUGUUGGGUUAAGUCCCGCAACGAGCGCAACCCCUGUGUCCUGUUGCCCGCAAGGGAUCUCUGGACAGACUGCCCUGUGAAACGGGGAGGAAGGUGGGGAUGACGUCAAGUCAGUAUGGCCCUUACGGCCAGGGCUGCACACGUACUACAAUGCUCAGUACAGAAUGAACCGAAUCCGCAAGGUGGAGGAAAUCUCUAAAACUGGGCCCAGUUCGGAUUGGAGGCUGCAAUUCGCCUCCAUGAAGCCGGAAUCGCUAGUAAUGGCGCAUCAGCUACGGCGCCGUGAAUACGUUCCCGGGCCUUGUACACACCGCCCGUCACAUCAUGGGAGUCGUUUGUAGCCGAAGUACGCGCGCUAACCGCAAGGAGGCAGCGUCCUACGCUAUGAGCGGUAACUGGGAUGAAGUCGUAACAAGGUAACCGU